rnacentral:rRNA from 1 species
UACAGCGGGGGCAAGCGUUGUUCGGAAUUACUGGGCGUAAAGGGCUCGUAGGUGGCCAACUAAGUCAGACGUGAAAUCCCUCAGCUUAACUGGGGAACUGCGUCUGAUACUGGAUGGCUUGAGUUUGGGAGAGGGAUGCGGAAUUCCAGGUGUAGCGGUGAAAUGCGUAGAUAUCUGGAGGAACACCGGUGGCGAAGGCGGCAUCCUGGACCAACACUGACACUGAGGAGCGAAAGCCAGGGGAGCAAACGGG